AACGCGAAGAACCUUACCUGGGCUCGAAAUGCAGGAGACCGGGGUAGAAAUAUCCUUUCCCCGCAAGGGGCUGCUGUAUAGGUGCUGCAUGGCUGUCGUCAGCUCGUGUCGUGAGAUGUUGGGUUAAGUCCCGCAACGAGCGCAACCCUUAUCCCUAGUUGCCAUCGGGUCAAGCCGGGCACUCUAGUGAAACCGCCCAGGAUAACUGGGAGGAAGGUGGGGAUGACGUCAAGUCCUCAUGGCCUUUAUGUCCAGGGCUACACACGUGCUACAAUGGUCGGUACAAACCGUCGCAAACCCGCGAGGGGGAGCUAAUCGGAAAAAGCCGGCCUCAGUUCGGAUUGGAGUCUGCAACCCGACUCCAUGAAGCUGGAAUCGCUAGUAAUCGCGGAUCAGAACGCCGCGGUGAAUACGUUCCCGGGCCUUGUACACACCGGCUAC
rnacentral:rRNA from 1 species